rnacentral:lncRNA from 1 species
AUCGAACACGCUCGGACUUGCUAAACGUUUCCCACACGGACAGUCACUGCCACUUUGCACAUUUUGAUUUUUUUUUUUUUUUAAACAAACAUUGUGUUGACAUUAAGAAUGUUGGUUUACUUUCAAAUUGGUCCCCUGUCGAGUCUGGAUCUGGGUAGGGGGCAGGACACGGGGUUCUGCCAUGACCUUGGAAAAAAAACUGACUUAUGGGAUGCUGGGUGGCUUGUUUUCCUCCUCCAUAUCACCUGGUGACAGCCGUGGAAGUUCGGGACACUAAGGAGCUUCAGGAGGCUGUGAAGUCACCUUGUUCCGGUCCAAGAUUCCAAACAGAGUCAUUCCUUCUUUUUACAAUGGUGCUUAAGUUCCAGCAAAUGCCACAGAAGGGGGGGUUGCCAUUUGAUGCCCCUGGGAACACUUGUGUAAAUACCAUUGAUACACCCGCCUUUUGUAUACGUCCUGGGUAAUGAGAGGUGGCUCUUGCGGCCAGUAUUAGACUGGAAGUUCACACCUAAGUACUGUAAGAAUACCUCAAUGUUUGAGGGGCAUGUUUUGUAUACAAAUAUAUUGUUAAUCUGUUAUGUACUGUACUAAUUCCUACACGGCCUGUAUACUUUAGUAUGACGCUGAUACAUAACUAAAUUUGAUACUUAUAUUUUCGUAUGAAAAUGAGUUGUGGAAGUUUUGAGUAGAUAUUACUUUAUCACUUUUUGAACUAAGAAACUUUUGUAAAGAAAUUUUACUAUAUAUAUAUAUUCCUUUUUUUCCUAGCCUGUUUCUUCCUUGUUUACUGUAUUUGUUCAUGUUUGGUGCAUAGAACUGGGUAAAAUGGCAAAGUUCUGUGUUUAAUUUCUUCAAAAUGUAUAUAUUUAGUGCUGCACCUUAGAGCACUUUGAAAUACCUCAUGUUUAUGAAAAUAAAUAGCAAUUAAAUGAUGC